rnacentral:rRNA from 1 species
CGGCGAGUGAGCGGCAAAGCUCAAAUUUGAAAUCUGGUACCUUUGGUGCCCGAGUUGUAAUUUGGAGAGUACCACUUUGGGACUGUACUUUGCCUAUGUUCCUUGGAACAGGACGUCAUGGAGGGUGAGAAUCCCGUGUGGCGAGGGUGUCAGUUCUUUGUAAAGGGUGCUCGAAGAGUCGAGUUGUUUGGGAAUGCAGCUCUAAGUGGGUGGUAAAUUCCAUCUAAAGCUAAAUACAGGCGAGAGACCGAUAGCGAACAAGUACAGUGAUGGAAAGAUGAAAAGAACUUUGAAAAGAGAGUGAAAAAGUACGUGAAAUUGUUGAAAGGGAAGGGCAUUUGAUCAGACAUGGUGUUUUGCGCCCCUUGCCUCUCGUGGGCUUGGGACUCUCGCAGCUCACUGGGCCAGCAUCGGUUUUGGCGGCCGGAAAAAACCUAGGGAAUGUGGCUCUGCGCCUCGGUGUAGAGUGUUAUAGCCCUGGGGAAUACGGCCAGCCGGGACCGAGGACUGCGAUACUUGUUAUCUAGGAUGCUGGCAUAAUGGUUAUAUGCCGCCCGUCUU